rnacentral:rRNA from 1 species
GACGAACGCUGGCGGCGUGCUUAACACAUGCAAGUCGAACGGAAAGGCCCUGCUUUUGUGGGGUGCUCGAGUGGCGAACGGGUGAGUAACACGUGAGUAACCUGCCCUUGACUUUGGGAUAACUUCAGGAAACUGGGGCUAAUACCGGAUAGGAGCUCCUGCUGCAUGGUGGGGGUUGGAAAGUUUCGGCGGUUGGGGAUGGACUCGCGGCUUAUCAGCUUGUUGGUGGGGUAGUGGCUUACCAAGGCUUUGACGGGUAGCCGGCCUGAGAGGGUGACCGGGCACAUGGGGCCUGAGAUACGGCCCAGACGGCUACAGGAGGCAGCAGUGGCGAGUAUUACACAAUGGGCGGGAGCCUGAUGCAGCGACGCCGCGGGCGUGAUGACGGCCUGCGGGGUAUAAAACGCAUUCGCCUGUGACGAAGCGGGAGUGACGGUAAUGAGUAAAGAAGCACCGGCUAACUACGUG